rnacentral:rRNA from 1 species
GGUAAGGUAACGGCUUACCAAGGNCGAUGAUGCAUAGCCGAGUUGAGAGACUGAUCGGCCACAUUGGGACUGAGACACGGCNCCAAACUCCUACGGGAGGCAGCAGUAGGGAAUCUUCCACAAUGGACGCAAGUCUGAUGGAGCAAC